GACGAACGCUGGCGGCGUGCUUAACACAUGCAAGUCGAACGGAAAGGCCCUGCUUUUGUGGGGUGCUCGAGUGGCGAACGGGUGAGUAACACGUGAGUAACCUGCCCUUGACUUUGGGAUAACUUCAGGAAACUGGGGCUAAUACCGGAUAGGAGCUCCUGCUGCAUGGUGGGGGUUGGAAAGUUUCGGCGGUUGGGGAUGGACUCGCGGCUUAUCAGCUUGUUGGUGGGGUAGUGGCUUACCAAGGCUUUGACGGGUAGCCGGCCUGAGAGGGUGACCGGCCACAUUGGGGCUGAGAUACGGCCCAGACUCCUACGGGAGGCAGCAGUGGGGAAUAUUGCACAAUGGGCGGAAGCCUGAUGCAGCCACGCCGCGUGCGGGAUGACGGCCUUCGGGUUGUAAACCGCUUUCGCCUGUGACGAAGCGUGAGUGACGGUAAUGGGUAAAGAAGCACCGGCUAACUACGUG
rnacentral:rRNA from 1 species